UACAGAGGUCCCGAGCGUUGUUCGGAUUCAUUGGGCGUAAAGGGUGCGUAGGCGGCGGGGCACGUCUGAUGUGAAAUCCUGGGGCUCAACCCUGGAACUGCAUUGGAUACUUCCUUGCUAGAGUACUGGAGAGGAAACUGGAAUUUACGGUGUAGCAGUGAAAUGCGUAGAUAUCGUAAGGAAGACCAGUGGCGAAGGCGAGUCUCUGGACAGUUACUGACGCUGAGGCAUGAAGGCCAGGGGAGCAAACGGG
rnacentral:rRNA from 1 species